rfam:Gloeophyllum trabeum ATCC 11539 unplaced genomic scaffold GLOTRscaffold_00003, whole genome shotgun sequence.
GGUAGCGUGGCCGAGCGGUCUAAGGCGUUGGAUUUAAGUUCUUGAUUUGAUUCCCAAUGGGCGAAAGCCCGCGCGAGUUCGAACCUCGCCGCUACCA